rnacentral:rRNA from 1 species
GAUGAACGCUGGCGGCGUGCCUAAUACAUGCAAGUCGAGCGAACGGACGAGAAGCUUGCUUCUCUGAUGUUAUCGGCGGACGGGUGAGUAACACGUGGAUAACCUACCUAUAAGACUGGGAUAACUUCGGGAAACCGGAGCUAAUACCGGAUAAUAUUUUGAACCGCAUGGUUCAAAAGUGAAAGACGGUCUUGCUGUCACUUAUAGAUGGAUCCGCGCUGCAUUAGCUAGUUGGUAAGGUAACGGCUUACCAAGGCAACGAUGCAUAGCCGACCUGAGAGGGUGAUCGGCCACCCUGGAACUGAGACACGGUCCAGACUCCUACGGGAGGCAGCAGUAGGGAAUCUUCCGCAAUGGGCGAAAGCCUGACGGAGCAACGCCGCGUGAGUGAUGAAGGUCUUCGGAUCGUAAAACUCUGUUAUUAGGGAAGAACAUAUGUGUAAGUAACUGUGCACAUCUUGACGGUACCUAAUCAGAAAGCCACGGCUAACUACGUG